rnacentral:tRNA from 1 species
CUUCGCGGGGCGGGGCGUGCGCACGCCGAUCUGACGCGUCGGCGGCUGCCGCGCCUCAGAACUGGUAGCGCACGCUCAGCGUCGUGCUGCGCGGC